GCCAGUGGGGCUCAGUGGUUAGAGUUUUGGCCCAUGCACCCAAGGGUGGUGGGUUCGAUUCCCAGUCAAGGGCA
rnacentral:tRNA from 1 species